rnacentral:miRNA from 1 species
UAGCAGCACAUCACUGGUUUGCA